rnacentral:lncRNA from 1 species
CAAAGAUGCAAAGAAAUCACUCCCUCCAAUUUUUUAAUCCCCUUCUCAAAUACAUUUCAGAUGUUAAAAGAAAAAAAAAUUCUUAAGGCAGCUCCAAAGACUCUUAAUUUAUGCUGUUCUUACUAACAAGAACAUCUGACUGAGAAAACUGUUUGUUAAUUGACCUUAUGAUUGACCUGUAGAGAACCAUGUGCUGGGCAUUAGAAGUUAUCUCACUAUAAUGCCCUCCUCAUCAAGGCUUGCUGCUUUAGUUAGCUCAUUAGGAAAUGAAGGCAUAAAUUAAACUUGUAAAGAGGAAGUUGAUGUGGGAAGGACUCAAAGUAUUUGGUAUGCUGUAGAGGAUACACUAAUUCCAGAGUCAUCGUUGUGAUCCUUUGUUGAACUCACUCCUGUAUGUUCAUGGUCUCACCAGUGCUGAGUAAAG